rnacentral:pre_miRNA from 1 species
UAAGUACUCCCUCCGUCCGGAAAUACUUGUCAUCAAAAUGGAUAAAAGGAGAUGUAUCUAGAUAUAUUUUAGUUCUAGAUACAUCCCUUUUUGUCCAUUUUGAUGACAAGUAUUUUCGGACGGAGGGAGUAUUAC